UACGUAGGCAGCAAGCGUUGUUCGGAGUUACUGGGCGUAAAGAGCUCGUAGGCGGUUUGUUGCGUCGGCUGUGAAAUCCCGAGGCUCAACCUCGGGUCUGCAGUCGAUACGAGCAAACUAGAGUGUUGCAGGGGAGACUGGAAUUCCUGGUGUAGCGGUGAAAUGCGCAGAUACCAGGAGGAACGACCGGUGGCGAAGGCGGGUCUCUGGGCAGUAACUGACGCUGAGGAGCGAAAGCGUGGGGAGCGAACAGG
rnacentral:rRNA from 1 species